GCGAUUCGCUCCCACGGGCGGGACCUUUGUAACUGCGGGAGGCCCAGGACAGGCCCACCCUGCGGGGCGGGAGGCAGCCGGGGUGAGGGAGGUGAAGAAACCAAGACGCAGAGAGGCCAAGCCCCUUGCCUUGGGUCACACAGCCAAAGGAGGCAGAGCCAGAACUCACAACCAGAUCCAGAGGCAACAGGGACAUGGCCACCUGGGACGAAAAG
rnacentral:lncRNA from 1 species